UGAGGUUUAGACGAUUGGAUUCAUGUUUUGUGUAAUACUUGUAUUAAUGCUUGUUGAAAAAAAAUGAAUCUAACGACAGAGCUGUUACUUCUGCUGAUCGAUAAGCCAACUAAGAGGACCACCGCAAGACUCGUGAAAUGGUUACAGAAAAAGAGACUUCUAGCAAGGAAGAUGUCUUGUCAGAUUUGUGGUCGUGGCAUGAAAAUGAAAAGACGCCACGAUACAUCAGACGGCUUUCACUGGGAAUGCAGACAUCAAAGCCACAGAGGCAGAAAAUGCAGUAGGACUGUCAGAGCAAAAUCACUCUUUCAGAAUUCAAAAAAUUCCCUGUCUUCGUGGAUGACAUUUAUUUACCGGUUUUCUCAGGGCUUGCACCUCAGGCAAAUCGACAUGAAGCAAGAUGGGAUUGCAAGAAG